CCUACGGGUGACAGCAGUGGGGGAUAUUGCACAAUGGGGGAAACCCUGAUGCAGCGACGCCGCGUGGGUGAAGAAGUAUUUCGGUAUGUAAAGCCCUAUCAGCAGGGAAGAAAGAAGACGGUACCUGACUAAGAAGCCCCGGCUAACUACGUGACAGCAGCCGCGGUAAUACGUAGGGGGCGAGCGUUAUCCGGAUUCACUGGGGGUAAAGGGAGCGUAGACGGCCGUGCAAGCCAGGAGUGAAAGCCCGGGGCCCAACCCCGGGACUGCUCUUGGAACUGUGCGGCUGGAGUGCGGGAGGGGCAGGCGGAAUUCCUGGUGUAGCGGUGAAAUGCGUAGAUAUCAGGAGGAACACCGGCGGCGAAGGCGGCCUGCUGGACCGCGACUGACGUUGAGGCUCGAAAGCGUGGGGAGCGAACAGGAUUAGAUACCCGAGUAGUC
rnacentral:rRNA from 1 species